ensembl:lncRNA
AUGCACGGAACCAGCUGGCCUGACCCUCCCAGGAAGCAAGUGAACAAAGACACCUGCUACUUGUCCUUGCUCCCUCCUGUUAGAGCGAGAACCCCAAUAAAGCCUUGCCCGAAUUUCUUGUCUGGCCUCUCUGAUCAAUUUCUAUUGAUUAAGGAGCCCAAAUGAUGCUUUCGAAUUGUGGUGCUGGAGAAGACUCUUGAGAGUCCCAUGGACAGCAAGGAGAUCAAACCAGUCAAUCCUAAAGAAAAUCAACCCUGAAAAUUCAUUGGAAGGACUGAUGUUGAAGCUCCAAAAUUUUGGCCACCUGCUGCAAAGAACAGACUCUGAUACUGGGAAAGAUUGAGAGCAGGAGAGAAGGGGGUGACAGAGGACAAUGGAUGUCUGUGUCGACAGAGGUGGUUGGAUGGCAUUACUGACUCAACGGACAUGAAUUUAAGCCACCUCUGGGAGACAGUGAAGGACAGUGAAGCCUGACAUGCUGUGUUCCACAGAGUUGCAAAGAGUCAGACACAAUUUAGCAACUGAACAACAAGUAGCCCAAGAACCCUGGUCAGGAACACAUUGACAUUUUUCUUGAUCUUUCCUUUUUCUUUUAGAUCCAGAGGCAGAACACUGGGUGAAUCAUACUCUCUGCUGAUAACGCACUAUCGUUAUAAGCUUGCACCAGGUCCUUCUCUCGUUGUUUAUUGCCUUUUAUCCCAUUUCCCUCCCCAACCCAAUACCCACAGCACUACUAAAUGUGAUCAUCUCAUGUCCUUCUGCUGCGUGUAUGUUUUUAACUUUUAUAUGUGAUAUCCACAGACUUUUUUCUGUUUCUUUUUCAUCCACACAGCAUGGUUUUUAAGAUUUAUCUGGAUACUUCUAUCUGUUUUGCAUGGUAUUUUGUGGUAUGCCUCAUUAUCUGUCCCUCCAGGGAUGAACCCCAAGGUCACCACCAUCCUCACCACAAUAGAGAACACUGUGAUAAACAUCCCAGGCCAGCCUGCUCAGGGACCUGCAUGACAGCUUCUCUGGGUUCUACAUCCGGGCUCGGGACUGAAGGAUGGUUUCCGUCCGGCUGUCCCGUCCUGAUUAUUCUAAGGAGCACCUAUGUGGCCCCAUCAUAUCGCCGGGUUCACAUCACAGAAAUGGGAGUCAUCUGAGGCUCAAAGAGGUUAACUCCUGAGAGUUAUGCCUACCUCCACAGAGCUGGUUCAGUGGUAG